GUGUCAGCAGCCGCGGUAAUACGUAGGUGACAAGCGUUGUCCGGAUUUAUUGGGCGUAAAGCGAGCGCAGGCGGUCUUUUAAGUCUGAUGUGAAAGCCCACGGCUCAACCGUGGAUGGUCAUUGGAAACUGGAGGACUUGAAUACAGAAGAGGAAAGUGGAAUUCCAUGUGUAGCGGUGAAAUGCGUAGAUAUAUGGAGGAACACCAGUGGCGAAGGCGACUUUCUGGUCUGUUAUUGACGCUGAGGCUCGAAAGCGUGGGGAGCGAACAGGAUUAGAUACCCCUGUAGUCC
rnacentral:rRNA from 1 species